AGACACCUAAAGGCCUCCGCUAUGUGGGCGGUGACCCGCCCGUGACGUAAGCUCCAGACGCCUGAGAAGUGGAAGGACCCGGCGUCCAGGACAGGAAAGUGCGUGAUUUACAGCUAGAGGGAUAGGCGCUGUCCCGGAGCCCGUCCUGGGCCAGGGAGCAGGAGAGGGAGGGACUACAGUUCCCGACGCGCUGCGGGGCGGGCGGAGAUCGUGCGCUUCGGCGCCAGUUGCACGGCCUUAGCAGCCAGUGGCGGCUCCCCUGCUCCUGUAACAGUCCCCUUGUCUUCUGACCUUUCGCUCCUCGGUCAUGUGUCCUCGCCGGUCGCCGCGGCAGCCAGUGAUGCCCGAGCGGCGGGUUCCCAGGCCCAGGUGUGGGCGCCACCGCCCACCAUGCGCCAAGCCCAGAGCCUGGUUGAAUCGUUCGCCACCUUGUCUACCCAUUUUGGCCAUUAUCCUGCCACCUCCAAAUCCUGUUUUUGACACUUCUCGGGAGAGAGAGAAAACGGAAAGAUAAAGGAAUAAACUCCUCGUGGUCGUAGUUAGUGGGUAAAUUCAGAUCUCGUUUGAACCGAGGUUUUUCUUAUCUCCAGCCACCGUAUCCACCACCACCAGAAUCGUCUUUUUAGUCAUCACAGCUGGUCGCCGUCAGUACCUUGUUCAGAAGCCUCUCGCAGCUUCCAUCGUGUGGUUAUACAAUCCAAAUUCCUUAUAAAGUCCAAAUUCAAGAGGAGGAAUGCACGUUUAGUUAAGUUAAUGUCUAGACCUUACCAGCCAAUUUCUAGCUCCUCAGUAUGGAAAUUGCAACUGAAAACACCCCUUCCAAAAAAAGCAGUCUGCAUUUUUCUCUGAGUUUUCUUCUCCAAAUUUCGCACCCCUGACCUUGCUUACACACUCUGGAUACCACCUGCUGUGGAGUGGCGGAAGCAGACAUCCAGCGAUAGCUAAGUUUCCUGUCGUUGACACCCAAGCAAGACAGGCGUGUACCUAACUGAGGACCUGCCGGUGAUAGAAGUCUCAGCUUUUCUCAGAGACAGAUGAGUCUUCCCUUUAAAUGCUGCAAAGUGCUGCAUAGUAGAUGUUAAAUGAAAGUCAGAAAGAAUCAAAUGUGCUGCAAAUAAUUGAAGGCAAAGUCCCAAACCAGAAUGCAGUCCCCUGGCCAGUGACCCUAGAGAUGACGCUGGCUCCGGCGGUGGCUCCAGGUUCCUGAGUAAGAGGUCUUCUCUUCUGUCUGGUAUUGACACCUGCAUCCUCUCUGCACUCCACAGCUGUAUAAACCAUUGCUUAUAGACAUCUCUGUCUG
rnacentral:lncRNA from 10 species